CACAGGGACAAAGGGAUUGGUUGGGCUUUAAUGCUUAAGGAGAUGAGAAAUGUCUCAAUGAUAUUUGACAAUUUAGAGAACUACUGACGUUUUAUUUUAUUUGAGACAUCUAAUACAUAAGAGGGGGCCUACAAACCCCUACAGGGAACACUUCCACCACUCGGCCGCCUUUACCGAAGAGCGGGAGCUCCACCAUGUAUCUGUUGUCAUGGCAACGCUGCAAUCCCCUCAGAUUACAAGCACAUACGGUAUUAAAUAUUUCAAACGCUGAUGAUUAUAGUGACUCAACCCAACACAGAUGGAUCUCUUAAUAAAGCCUCGCUUUUCUCUUUCAUGGAGGACAUUUUUCUUUUGUCACACACAAAGAAAAUGAAAGUAGAUAGAAGAUUGCUCUGAUAAGCCUUUUGUUCAGGGUUUGUCAGACCAUUUUCCUCUGUAUCUAGUCCAAUACUCCCUAUUUUGAACAGGUGUGUGUAGCAAGGACAAAUUCACAAUUUCCUCACUAAAUGCAUGUUUAGACACCUUUUGGUGCUACAUAAUGUCUACGUGUUAAUGAAAAUGUCAUAACACACACACAAAGACGCACAGGAAUACAAAUAGCCUUAUACACCAAAAGUGAAUAAGAGCUUUGUAACAUGGCCAUGAGAAUCCACUACACACUAAAACACCUACUCAAGGCAUGGCAACUAUUUGUUUUCUGUGCAAGCUCUGAAUACAGGAACUAAAUACAGGAGCAAGAAUGUGGAAUUCUGGGGUAAUGCAUCAAUUAUCAAUGGGAAAAGAAGCAGACCAUGGAACGCCUAUCUCAGACCAUGAGUUUUGAGGCGAAGUGAUAAUUGAGUAACUCCACAAAUUGGUUCAUAUGGAGUUUUUAAAAACAUAAACCAUAUCAUUCAUACUGAGGUGAUUAAACUAGGCAUACAAAAAUGGGUUUCUGUCAAGGGGCAUUUUUCAAAACAGGUCUUUUACUCUGUGCUAAACAAACUUCUAUAACCGCUAGGAUAUCUGCAAACACUGAACACUGGUUUGAGAAAAUUAAGUGUUGGCCAACAGCAAAGCACAGAGUAAAACCCAACCAGAUUUUGGAUGGCUGUUUAGCACCCAUCCCACACAGCCCAAGCCACUGUGCCAGAAUGCUGAUUUAGCUAUUCAGCUGUUUACACUAAUCCCACCUCAUUAACCUGCAAAUAGGCAUACUAGAGGAAUUACACUGACACUGGCAUGGUACUACGACUGUGAUAACGGUUGUCUCCCAUAGCUAUCUUAAAAUGAAUGCACUAACUGUAAGUCACUCUGAAUAAGGGUGUCUGCUAAAUGACAAAAAUGUCAAAUGUAAGCCUGGCUAAUGCUGUCAAUGUUUGCCCACAUAACAGCAUUACAAACUGCUUUCGUUAGCCUAUGGCGAUCUAAUCACACAGAAUUAGGUCUAGGCCUACUAUGACUAAACUGUGAUAAUGCUGUGCUAAAUUACUCAAAAGGUGUGGCAAAUUAUGUCCAACUAAAGGGACACACACAGCUCUGUAAAAUAUUAUACCUUUGUUUCUAAAGAAGCUGAUACCAGUAGGUAGGUACUUGCUGAGCAAUAUUGAAUGAUUGUACAUUUACUAAACUAAAUGGGUACCAACUAGUCAACCAGUGAAUUACGUAGGCUAUAUCCUCCUGACAAAUAGGCCUAAAUGCAUGAUCCUUUUGAUGUGAUCCAUCUUCACAGUCUGUGGAGGUUCUUUACUUUGUCUGGCCCUCUCCCCUGAGAAAGAGGGAUAAAUGGAAGCAGGAGGAGAGGGUCAGGUGAUGAUGAGAUUAAAGACCUCCUCAUUGCACAGAGAAGGUCUAACAGACAGACCGUGUUUGACGCAGCAGCUCCUUCUGCCUUCCUCUCCAAAAAGCCCUCCUGUGGGGCUGCAGUCUGCUCAGUCCUGGACCUAGAUUCACCACACCAAAGCUACUGGGGCAGUAUGUAUUUCCUGUCGCCUCCUCAUGCCACUGGCCACCAGUCACACUACUUGGCGCUGUUGGAUACCCAAGACCCUGCCUCCCUGCUGCUGUGGGUCAUCAGCCUCCUGAAGAGAGAGGAUAAAUCAUGGUGAGAGCACAUCUGUCAAAUAAUACACAACAGUAAUUUCUAAUUUCCUGUCUUUUCCUGUUGCUUAGUAUCGGAAUUUUUCUACAUUUCAGGUUUGAUUGAAAAAGUGAAAAACAGCAACAUCCAUCCAUAGAAUGAAGGUGGAGCAACAGUGGUGGGUAGUGCUCUAAUGGCAGAAAGGGAGAUACCUAGUCAGUUGUACAACUGAAAUGUGUCUUCCGCAUUUAACCCAACAGAAUCAGAGAGGAAGAGAGCGGCAGGUGCAACCAUCCCUUGGUUCUGCUGAUCCCACCAAGUUCCACUACUGUGAAGAACUGUGUUCACUAUUCAUCUGAAAAGGUUUGCUCAAUUAUGUUUGAAUUGAUGUUUAUAUAUAAAAAAAUAAGUGAAUAAAUAUUUCUAAAUCCCAAAACAUAACUAUUAUACGGUGUGGUUAUACAGUGGGGAGAACAAGUAUUUGAUUACGCUGCCGAUUUUCCUACUUACAAAGCAUGUAGGUCUGUAAUUAUCAUAGGUACACUUCAACUGUGAGAGACAGAAUCUAAAACAAAAAUCCUGAAAAAUCACAUUGUAUGAUUUUUAAGUAAUUCAUUUGCAUUUUAUUGCAUGACAUAAGUAUUUGAUACAUCAGAAAAGCAGAACUUAAUAUUUGGUACAGAAACCGUUGUUUUCAAUUAGAGAUCAUACGUUUCCUGUAGUUCUUGACCAGGUUUGCACACACUGCAGCAGGGAUUUUGGCCCACUCCUCCAUACAGACCUUCUCCAGAUCCUUCAGGUUUCAGGCUGUCGCUGGGCAAUACAGACUUUCAGCUCCCUCUAAAGAUGUUCUAUUGGGUUCAGGUCUGGAGACUGGCUAGGCCACUCCAGGACCUUGAGAUGCUUCUUACGGAGCCACUCCUUACUUGCCCUGGCUGGAUCAUCCUCUGGAUCAUCCAGAUGGUCAUUGGCAAACUUCAGACGGGCCUGGACAUGUGCUGGCUUGAGCAGGGGGACCUUGUGUGCACUGAAGGAUUUGAAUCCAUGAAGGCGUAGUGUGUUACUAAUGGUUUUCUUUGAGACUGUGGUCCCAGCUCUCUUCAGGUCAUUAAUCAGGUCCUGUCGUUUAGUUCUGGGCUGAUCCCUCACCUUCCUCAUGAUCAUUGAUGCACCAUGAGGUAAGAUCAUGCAUGGAGCCCCAGACCGAGGGUGAUUGACCGUCAUCUUGAACUUCUUCCAUUUUCUAAUAAUUGCACCAACAGUUGUUGCUUUCUCACCAAGCUGCUUGCCUAAUGGCCUGUAGCCCAGCCUUGUGCAGGUCUACAACUUUAUCCCUGAUGUCCUUACACAGCUGUCUGGUCUUAGCCAUUGUGUAGAGGAUGGAGUCUGUUUGAUUGAGUGUGUGGACAGGUGUCUUUUAUACAGGUAACGAGUUCAAACAGGCGCAGUUACUACAGGUAAUGAGUGGAGAACAUGAGGUCUUCUUAAAGAAAAAUUAACAGGUCUGUGAGAGCCAGAAUUCUUACUGGUUGGUAGGUGAUCAAAUACUUAUGUCAUGCAAUAAAAUGCAAAUUAAUUACUUCAAAAUCA